GAUGAACGCUGGCGGCGUGCCUAAUACAUGCAAGUCGAGCGAACGGACGAGAAGCUUGCUUCUCUGAUGUUAGCGGCGGACGGGUGAGUAACACGUGGAUAACCUACCUAUAAGACUGGGAUAACUUCGGGAAACCGGAGCUAAUACCGGAUAAUAUUUUGAACCGCAUGGUUCAAAAGUGAAAGACGGUCUUGCUGUCACUUAUAGAUGGAUCCGCGCUGCAUUAGCUAGUUGGUAAGGUAACGGCUUACCAAGGCAACGAUGCAUAGCCGACCUGAGCGGGUGAUCGGCCACACUGGAACUGAGACACGGUCCAGACUCCUACGGGAGGCAGCAGUAGGGAAUCUUCCGCAAAGGGCGAAAGCCUGACGGAGCAACGCCGCGUGAGUGAUGAAGGUCUUCGGAUCGUAAAACUCUGUUAUUAGGGAAGAACAUAUGUGUAAGUAACUGUGCACAUCUUGACGGUACCUAAUCAGAAAGCCACGGCUAACUACGUG
rnacentral:rRNA from 1 species